UAUCCCCCAAACUAAGGGGGGAUGAGAACCACCGACCGGGGUUCGACACAAAAACGCCGGGAGCGUUUUUGAACAGAGCUUGCUCUGGCCCCGAAGGGGCGAGCAAAGCGAGUCAAUCCCCCCCUCACCGCCA
rnacentral:sRNA from 1 species